UCACCGUUUGCACGGGCAGUUCCUCUAGAGUCCCCGGCAUUACCCGCUGGCAACUAGAGAUAGGGGUUGCGCUCGUUAUGGGACUUAACCCGACACCUCACGGCACGAGCUGACGACAGCCAUGCAGCACCUAGACCACUGUCCUUGCGGAAAAUCCCCUUUCAGGGACUGUCAUUGGUCUUUCAAGCCCAGGUAAGGUUCCUCGCGUACCAUCGAAUUAAACCACAUGCUCCUCCGCUUGUGCGGGCCCCCGUCAAUUCCUUUGAGUUUCAACCUUGCGGUCGUACUUCCCAGGUGGAACACUUAAUGCUUUCGCUUAGCCGCUGGCUGUGUAUCGCCAACAGCGAGUGUUCAUCGUUUACAGCGUGGACUAC
rnacentral:misc_RNA from 1 species